rnacentral:tRNA from 1 species
GAGGGUAUAUCUCAGUGGCAAAGUGUAUGCCUAGCAUGUGUGAGGUCCUGGGUUCAAUCCCUGGUACCUCCA